rnacentral:rRNA from 1 species
AGCGAACGCUGGCGGCAGGCCUAACACAUGUAAGUCGAACGAAGUCUUCGGACUUAGUGGCGGACGGGUGAGUAACACGUGGGAACGUGCCUUUAGGUUCGGAAUAACUCAGGGAAAUUUGUUCUAAUACCGCAUGUGCCCUUCGGGGGAAAGAUUUCUCGCCUUUAGAGAGGCCCGCUUCUGAUUAGCUAGUUGGUGGAGUAAUGGCCCACCAAGGCUACGAUCAGUAGCUGGUCUGAGAGGAUGACCAGCCACAUUGGGACUGAGACACAGCCCAAACUCCUACGGGAGGCAGCAGUGGGGAAUCUUGCGCAAUGGGCGAAAGCCUGACGCAGCCAUGCCGCGUGGAUGAUGAAGGUCUUAAGAUUGUAGAAUCCUUUCACCGGUGAAGAUAAUGACUGUAGCCGGAGAAGAAGCCCCGGCUAACUUCGUGCCAGCCGCCGCAGUAAAAC